rnacentral:sRNA from 1 species
CCCACUUCACAGGCAGCAGCCAGAGCAGCCACACAAGCAAAUACUUUGGCAGCAUCGACUCUUCUGAGGCUGAGGCUGGGGCUGCUCGGGGCGGGGCUGAGCCCGGGGACCAGGUGAUUAAGUACGUGCUCCAGGAUCCCAUUUGGCUGCUCAUGGCUAAUGCUGACCAGCGCGUCAUGAUGACCUACCAGGUGCCCUCCAGGGACAUGACCUCUGUGCUGAAGCAGGAUCGGGAGCGGCUCCGAGCCAUGCAGAAGCAGCAGCCUCGGUUUUCUGAGGACCAGCGGCGGGAACUGGGCGCUGUGCACUCCUGGGUCCGGAAGGGCCAACUGCCUCGGGCUCUUGAUGUGAUGGCCUGUGUGGACUGUGGGAGCAGCACCCAAGAGCCUGGUCACCCCGAUGACCCACUCUUCUCAGAGCUGGAUGGACUGGGGCUGGAGCCCAUGGAAGAGGGUGGAGGC